rnacentral:lncRNA from 1 species
UCCCUCACGACCUCCUUAUCUCCUCCUCCAACUUCCUCCGCCUGCAACUUCCUCCUCCUCUCCGGAUCCGUCAACGAAACCAUCGCCGCGAGAGCUGCUACGGAUCCGCCUCCGACUACGGCGAUAGUUGUACUGUCUAUGCUGGCUAGGUCGGUGACGGAGGCCGCGACGACGGUAGCGGCUCUGCUCCGUGAAGCUACAUUGAACCUAUUAGCGUUAGGGAAUCUGGGGAGAAACUGAGAGACUGAGGAAGAUGAUGACAACAAGGAAGGAGCAAUCGGCAUUCUCGAAGCAAGAAGAAGUGUGGCUACUCUGUUUGGCGCCC